CGGCAGCGCGGCAAGGCGGGCGCGGCCCCCGGCAUCGCCGCGCCGUGGGAGCAGCACGCCAGCACUGUUUCCUAGAACCUGUCGCUUACUGUGCAGGCAGCACAGUGCUUGGGAAAAGCUUUACCUGGUGUUCAUCAUGAGUAGGAGUCGUCCCCACCUGUGAAGCCUGGGUUCCUGAUGGAGAAGUUGCUGAUCCUCCUCACCUGUGUCAUCCAAGUGGUUUAGAGGAAUCAUGCCAUCGGACACAGAUCAGUAAUGCUUGUUGCUUGAUCCAACUGCUGUAUAGCUGAUGAAUUCAUGGAUUUAAGACAAAUAAUCCGUAUUUCAUUACUAGCAAGUGCUAGAAAUAAAAAUGUACUCUGCACUAUUGCUUGGAAAAACAAAUCCUGAAGUCGUAAGAGAGGAUUAAAGUUGAAAAAAAAUCUCUCAAGAGAAAAACGAAGGGAGUAAUGACAUCUGCUUAGCAGCAUCCAGCCCCUCAGCCUGCAGCACGGACCUCUGGAGCCCUUACACACGGAAUAAAAGGGGAUGCAGUGAGUGAGGAGCAGCAGAACUGCAAGCAGAGCAGCGCUACUGGUGUAAGAUGGCAUUAGGAAGAGUGGAGUUUUGUUAAUGGGUCAUGGAAAGUAGGUUCUACCUCUCAUAAUGCUAACUGUCUUAUUUUUGUUUCAUUUCCUUCCCAGGGUGGUGUUCUACCAUGGCGGUAAACAAAGCCAUCGGUUGCAGACUUCUGCACCAAUUCAGGUGGCUCCAUUGCAGGUGUAAGGUUGGAGGUGUGAGGUUUCUCAGCAGUGGGACGUUACCACCUAGCUGUGAGCUGGCUUCGCUCUGGUGGGUGUCCUGCUGUUGUUCCCCCACAGUGAGCUGUGUUCUGGUUCUGUUGGAAGGCUGCCCGGUCCUUCUGCCGGGUUUAUAUUCCACUGAAACGCGUGGCUAUUCAAGUGACCAACCUUUUGGAGUGUCUCGUUUGGCUUUGCCUUAAAUGUUUGCUGCUCCUACCCCUUCCCCCCUUCCUACAGAGGCCUUUUUAUAGGUGGCCUGUAGUGCCAUAAAGUUUUUGCUUAGAGUUGAGCAUUUUCCUAAGCUUAUGGGGUUAACCACGAUUAUGGGAGAGUUCUUGAAGCAUUUUUGAAUGUAAUGCUUUUAUUUAAUGUUUGUAAGCAAGUUCAAAGGUGUCAGAUACAAAUGUCCCAGUAUGGCACAAGGACGAGACGUGGCAUUGGGGAUUGGGCUGUUCUGUUGCUAGUGCACACAAAUGUGGCAAUGAACUUUUUCCCUCGUGCUUUAGAGCAUUAAAACAGCUGUUUUGGAUCAGAGCAAAGUGGGCAGCAGCUGUGGCAGUGAUCUGCCUGUGAUUAGUGGGCUCAGGCACUCGUGGAGUCACAGAUGGGCUUUGUGCUCUUAAGGGCACUGUGCUUUUAGGGCUCCCGCUUUUGCACCAGUGUACUUCUUAAAGUGCUAAAAGUUUUCCCAGCUGGAAGUCCUCACAGCAUCACACAGCAAAGAGCUCUGGGUUUCAGCAUCCACACAAAGGCAUCGCGCAGUCCGCCUGUGUUCCAAUGGGCACAAACAGCACUGAUUGCGUAUUAAAGCCAUUGUCACCAUCACAACCUGGGAGGAGAGCAGAGUGCCAGGACGCUGCAGGACCCCAAAGAUUAUGUCUUAUAAAUAAACAGCUCAAAUUUGUCUGAAGCCUCAGCGUGCGAUGUAUGGAGCGUUGCAUUCUGACCGUGUUACGCCAAGAUUGCUGCUAAUGGCUUUUGGCAGCACAGCCACCAAGUCAGAAAGCUGAGAUGAUUGCGGAUUGUCUGCUUCCAUACACAUCAUACAGCUGCCUGGGAGACGGUGGAGGCAGCGCCUAAUUGAUGUUUGUUCUUGUCAAUGUGUGAUCAGGUUUUGAUGCAAGGUUCUCCUCUUUUGUGCUCUUCUGGUCAAAUUUUCGUUUAAAUUUGUAUUCUGUGCUGAACAGUAGUGCCAGCAGAACCAUAAGCGAGGAGUUUAAAUUUAGGAUGUGUUGCAGAAAUCCAAAAAUGCUUUACUGUUUGGGUAAAAAUGUUUUUGUGUUUUUUUUCCCCUUCAGCUGCUGCUCUGCAUGCCAUAAAACAGCAAUCCGAAGGGUUUGCUCUGAAAGCAUCUCUUUGUGCCCUGGGCCAGUGACCCCACUGCUGUGCCAGUGAAUCAUGGCAAGCUGGAGGAAUCUCCCUGAUUUCUGAGCUCCUAAUCCCGCAAAGCCUGUAAAUGAUGGCUGGCUUAGCUUUGUUUCUGAUAAAACGAGGCUUAUGAGAUGAUGACAUUUGCUGCCUGUUUCUCCUCCGCUCCGUUCCGUGUCACCACCCAAGAGAUCUCUGGAGCCCAUCAGUGCAAGGCUGUGUGCCUAGUGCUACAACACUACCGCGUGCUGGAGAGCAGGGAGGAGCCUGGGUGAAUGUAUGGGAAUGAAUUUGGCUGUGUUAGCACUCCGAUCCCCUUCUGCAUGAUGUGCUUCCCCUGUUCUGCAGUGUCUGAUGCAGGUAUUGGGUCAGCCCAGUGAUGUUUGCUUCCCGGAGAGCACGCAUGGAACCUGCUGAUGGAGUUUGUUAACAGCCCUGCUGUUCCUUAAGCCAAGCUGGGUUUUUGCUUUGAUAAAACCUCUGGGCAUGGUGUGUGGCUGUACAGAGUGUGAGAACUCGGGGAGGUUCUUUACUCUGAGAGUGGUGAGGUGCUGAACAGCUGCCCAGAGAGGCUGUGGAUGCCCCGUCCAUCCCUGGAGGUGUUCAAGGCCAGGUUGGAUGGGCCCUGGGCAGCCUGGGCUGGUAUGAAAUGUGGAGGUUGGUGGCCCUGCCUGUGGGGGGGGGGUUGGAGCUUCAUGAUCCUUGGGGUCCCUUCCAACCCAACUGUUGUAUGGCUCUAUGAGAAGGCUGGGGCGGUGUGUGUGCACUGUGGGGAGGGAGCACUGCCUUCCUCCUGUGGUGGUCCCACCGCACAGUGCUGCAGUCACUGUCCCACCUGCCAGCAGCUGGCUGUGCUGUGCAACGCAGCCACCAAAGGAUUUCCUCUUAAAAGAUAUGAAUAAAAGUGUCUGCCAUCGCAGCAGGGAUUCUGUGAGUGGCAGCUCAAAUUAGAAGGUAGAAAGGUACAUUUUUAUUAAUACAUGCAAAGUCAGUGAAAGCUCACACCGCAUUCUGUGCUUUUAUCCAGAGCAGUCAGGCAUGCUGUGUCCUGUUCUUUCCCAGCUGCAGAGGUCACAGGUGGGACAACAAACUCCUGGUUCAGGGCUCUUAACUCUCACCAAUUUGAAGUAUUUGAUGUAAAAAUACAUUUUGCAGCCUGCUUCAUUUAUUUCCAAAGGUGUUUCUAUGAAAAUCUGCAUUGAACCUCAGACGUGGCUAGCCA
ensembl:lncRNA